CUUACAGAAAGGCAAUCUGUUCAUGACAAGAACUGUAAAUAUCAUCGCUGCUGCUGGCAAGUACAGUCCUGGUAAAGAUUAACAGAGAAUUGUCACUGACAUCUCUGACCUCUGCUGAAUUUCCAUUUCCCUUAGAGCUGCUGCUUCAUCCUGAAGAGAACAUCUCUUCACAAGUCACCACACAACUCUCACUGGAGAUGUUUGCAGAGGAAGGCAAGAGAUGGCAGCAGAAAUUGCUUCCUG